rnacentral:rRNA from 1 species
CACGUAGGGGGCGAGCGUUGUCCGGAUUUAUUGGGCGUAAAGAGCUCGUAGGCGGUUUGGCAAGUCGGGUGUGAAAUUUCGAGGCUCAACCUCGAAACGCCACUCGAUACUGCCAUGACUGGAGUCCGGUAGAGGAGUGCGGAAUUCCUGGUGUAGCGGUGAAAUGCGCAGAUAUCAGGAGGAACACCGGUGGCGAAGGCGGGUCUCUGGGCCGAUACUGACGCUGAGGAGCGAAAGCGUGGGAGCGAACAGG